GGAAUGAGUAUGAGCAUUGCUGAUUGAGUACAUCAUCGAAUCUUUGAACGCACAUUGCGCCCGCCAGCAUUCUGGCGGGCAUGCCUGUUCGAGCGUCAUUUCAACCCUCAAGCACCGCUUGGCGUUGGGGCCCUACGGCUUCCGUAGGCCCCGAAAUACAGUGGCGGACCCUCCCGGAGCCUCCUUUGCGUAGUAACAUAACACCUCGCACUGGGAUCCGGAGGGACUCCUGCCGUAAAACCCCCCAAUUUUCCAAAGGUUGACCUCGGAUCAGGUAGGAAUACCCGCUGAACUUAAGCAUAUCAAUAAGCGGAGGAACUGCGUUCUUCAUCGAUGCAUUC
rnacentral:rRNA from 1 species